rnacentral:rRNA from 1 species
UACGGAGGGUGCAAGCGUUAAUCGGAAUCACUGGGCGUAAAGCGCGCGUAGGUGGCUAUUUAAGUCAGAUGUGAAAUCCCUGGGCUCAACCUGGGAAUGGCAUUUGAUACUGGAUAGCUAGAGUAUGGUAGAGGUGAGUGGAAUUUCAGGUGUAGCGGUGAAAUGCGUAGAGAUCUGAAGGAACAUCAGUGGCGAAGGCGACUCACUGGGCCAUUACUGACACUGAGGUGCGAAAGCGUGGGUAGCAAACAGG